rnacentral:rRNA from 1 species
UACGUAGGGGGCAAGCGUUGUCCGGAAUCAUUGGGCGUAAAGAGCGUGUAGGCGGCUUCGUCAGUCCGUUGUGAAAGUCCAGGGCUCAACCCUGGAAUGCCGAUGGAUACUGCGGAGCUAGAGUCCGGAAGAGGCGAGUGGAAUUCCUGGUGUAGCGGUGAAAUGCGCAGAUAUCAGGAGGAACACCAAUGGCGAAGGCAGCUCGCUGGGACGUGACUGACGCUGAGACGCGAAAGCGUGGGGAGCAAACAGG